rnacentral:lncRNA from 1 species
UGAAUAUUUGCCCAUUUCGGAAAGCCACACCAUCACCACAGUCUUCCCACCUCUACAGGCAAACUAGAAAAAGGAGCUCCCCUGCUUACAGGCCCCUCAGGAUGUCACCUGAAAAGAAAACCAGCUUACAGACCCUGGAUUCUCUCCUAUGAUGUGUCCUCCUAAAGCCCAACUCAAUCGCUUGUUUGCACAUCUACGCUUCUGAGAACCUCGGUCCAGCUAUAGGCACUGCUACCAGCAGAGGAGUGAGGUAGCCGGGCGGUGCAGAAGAGGUCUCUCCUCUCACACCUGCGUGCAGUGAUGACAUCAGGACCUCCUGUGGGCAUCUCCAUUCCAUUCCAGGAGACUCAAUGCAGGAAGAGUGCCAGAAAAUCCAACUGAGAGUGGGAUGAGGAUGAAAAUCUUCACGGCCUACUGGGUGCCCACGUCCAACCCUAACGUGGCGUCCGCUUAUGAAGCAUGGAGGUUGUAAUCAACUCUUGGUACGCAAUAAACUGGACGUUU